AUUGAACGCUGGCGGCAUGCCUUACACAUGCAAGUCGAACGGCAGCGGGGGAGAAGCUUGCUUUUCCUGCCGGCGAGUGGCGAACGGGUGAGUAAUACAUCGGAACGUGCCCUGUAGUGGGGGAUAACUAGUCGAAAGAUUAGCUAAUACCGCAUACGACCUGAGGGUGAACGGGGGGGACCGCAAGGCCUCAUGCUAUAGGAGCGGCCGAUGUCUGAUUAGCUAGUUGGUGGGGUAAAGGCCUACCAAGGCGACGAUCAGUAGCUGGUCUGAGAUGACGAUCAGCCACACUGGGACUGAGACACGGCCCAGCAUCCUACGGGAGGCGGCAGUGGGGAAUUUUGGACAAUGGGCGAAAGCCUGAUCCAGCAAUGCCGCGUGUGUGAAGAAGGCCUUCGGGUUGUAAAGCACUUUUGUCCGGAAAGAAAUGGCUCUGGUUAAUACCUGGGGUCGAUGACGGUACCGGAAGAAUAAGGACCGGCUAACUACGUGCCAGCCGCCGCGGUAA
rnacentral:rRNA from 1 species